AUUGAACGCUGGCGGCAGGCCUAACACAUGCAAGUCGAACGAGUGGCGGACGGGUGAGUAAUGUCUGGGAAACUGACCGAGGGAGGGGGAUAACUUCUGGAAACGGUAGCUAAUACCGCAUACCAUCGGAUGUGCCCAGAUGGGAUGAGCUAGUAGGGGGGGUAACGGCUCACCUAGGCGACGAUCCAUAGCUGGUCUGAGAGGAUGACCAGCCGAACGGGAACUGAGACACGGUCCAGACUCCCACGGGAGGCAGCAGUGGGGAAAAUUGCACAAUGGGCGCAAGCCUGAUGCAGCCAUGCCGCGUGUAUGAAGAAGGCGUUCGGGUUGUAAAGUUCUUUCAGCGAGGAGGGGGUACUCGCAGAAGAAGCACCGGCUAACUCCGUGCCAGCCGCCGCGGUAAUUC
rnacentral:rRNA from 1 species